AUCCAGCUGACGAGUCUCGAAAAGGACGAAACGCGCAUCCUGGAU
rfam:Schistosoma mattheei strain Denwood, Zambia genome assembly, scaffold: SMTD_scaffold0002794